rnacentral:rRNA from 1 species
GACGAACGCUGGCGGAGUGCUUAACACAUGCAAGUCGAACGGAAAGGCCCUGCUUUUGUGGGGUGCUCGAGUGGCGAACGGGUGAGUAACACGUGAGUAACCUGCCCUUGACUUUGGGAUAACUUCAGGAAACUGGGGCUAAUACCGGAUAGGAGCUCCUGCUGCAUGGUGGGGGUUGGAAAGUUUCGGCGGUUGGGGAUGGACUCGCGGCUUAUCAGCUUGUUGGUGGGGUAGUGGCUUACCAAGGCUUUGACGGGUAGCCGGCCUGAGAGGGUGACCGGCCACAUUGGGACUGAGAUACGGCCCAGACUCCUACGGGAGGCAGCAGUGGGGAAUAUUGCACAAUGGGCGGAAGCCUGAUGCAGCAACGCCGCGUGCGGGAUGACGGCCUUCGGGUUGUAAACCGCUUUCGCCUGUGACGAAGCGUGAGUGACGGUAAUGGGUAAAGAAGCACCGGCUAACUACGU